CAAAUGUACAGUUGCCAAUGACAACCGUGCUCCGGCAAUGGCUUUGGCUGCGUAAGCAGUUCGAGUCGCCGAACCUAAGUCCUUAGGCUUAGCCGCUUAAGGCGGGGUUCGCAGGUACCUGGCAACAGAAACCUGCACU
rnacentral:tmRNA from 1 species